rnacentral:lncRNA from 1 species
ACAGACGAGACAGUAUGCCGUGUAACUGCGAUCCCUCGCGCUUCCUGCUCGGCGAAACUCCAGAACCGGACGGUGGAUUUGGACUGUGUAUCCGAGCCGAUCAUCUUGGGUUCUCCUAAAGCCGCAUAGAGACAACAUAGCGAAGGAUAUAACCUACAGGAUUUUGUUCUUGACCAGUUUGGAUUAAUUGUCUUUUGGAUACCAGAGUGAAACUGUUGCGCAAUGAGGUUGACGUGGUGGAUCCAACUGCUCCUACUGGCCAGCGGAAGUGUGUCUUCACUGGAACGAGUCACACACAAUCCAGAAAACAACGUCAUCUGUCCUCAGGCUCUAAACUGCAGGGUGAGAUAUACAGAUCCUAUCACACCACUUGAUGUGGUCUGUGGUCCUGUGUAUGUGUGUUCUCUAGCCGUGCAGUCCAAAACUGUGCUGCCACAAGAAGGACUGCAAACCCUGUUUGUGGAUCAACAUCCAGCUGAGUAUUAUUCCAGAUCUCAAAGAGGAGGAGGACAGAGAUAUUGAGAGAUCAGAAUAUGAAGAGGAGAGCAGUGGUGAGUCCUUACAGUAACAGCACAUUACAGUUGUUGGCCUAAUGGUUUAUGUUUACACUAACUUUUCUAAUUUUAGGGGACUGGGAUUCAGGAUGUGUUUCCAUGCCAAAUGACACAAGGGAAGAAUACUCUCUCUGUGAAGACCAGCUAGAUCAAGCUACUAUUACAAUAUGCUACCAACCAGCAGAAGUGCAGUAUGAGUGGUGCAAGAGAUUAGACUUCACAGUGACUUCUACCGCAAGCUGUAAACUUCUCAAUCUGACUCUGGUGGAGUAUAAUGAUGUUGACUUUGGCAGAACAAUGAAGAUCACUGUUGGAUCAUUCACUAAGUCACCUGAAGUUGAAUUCCCUACAUUGAAAACAGUGUGUUCCUUAUCACACCUCAAGGACAUAGAGCAGUGCAAAGGUCCUAGGGUCUCCACUGAAAUACAGGGGAGUAAGGUGCUGUUAGUCAAUGAGGAUGAAGGAGCUUCUGAACGCUUGUCCCUGUGUAUGAAACGUGGAAGAGAAGGGAGAUGCUGGCCCUUGCCAAGUAAUAACAUUCCACUGGCGUCAAUCACAGACUGCAUGUGUUUCCAGGCAUGGAAAAAUGAUUCAGUUCGUGCGGAAAUCUGUCCUUUUGAAAAAAAUACAGGUAAAACCACAAUCAUAUUCAGAGACACCAUGACUUUCUAAAUUGUUUGUGAUUUACUGGAUAAGGAUUAUAUUGUAUGAAAAAAUAAUAAAUAUAUAUAUACACGACA